CCGGAUGCCCUUCCCUCCGGCCCCUCAAACGCAGCGUAAUCUGUGGAUCAGGGGAGGCAGACGCACCCAGGCGGCGUGGACUUGGGCUCUGAUGGAAGUGAUGAGGAUGAAAAAUAGAAGAAAUAGCAUCAGUCCCCACCACCUCGACUGGAAGGCGAAUCCCGAUGCGUACAUAUCAAAAGAUGAAGGGAAAACGCUAUGCUGCUGCAGCACUUUUUUACCCCCGAAGAAGAAAGACUUCAAUUUCUGGUGAUUACAAGAUGGUAAUCUGCAAUAAAGCAGACUCUCAAAGCUCAUAUCCGAGCUUAAACACACCUCGUUAUACUCUAUAUAACAUGAUCAGAACUGUCAGUGCCCCAAGGACAGAACACUCUCUGCCACUGUCUUGUGUCAUUAUAUCCCCCCUGUUGUGCAACCUGACCUCUUUGGUCUUGCCCGAGUCUCUAUCCUCCUCCUCUUCUUCCUCCUCUUCCUCCUCUGCGCCCUGCCUUCUCUGUCACAUCGGCUCAGGGUCAGGGCCGCCGCCCCGCCUGCCUCGGUGAACAUUCAACGCUGUCGGUGAGUUUGGUUUGAGUAGCACAUAAACCAUCGACCGUUGACUGUGCCCCGUGGCUCGCUCUGGCGAUGUCAAAUCUGAGCAAAAACGAAAGAAAUGGGGGGAAAAAGACCAAAAAACGAACAAAAGGGCAAGUGGGCGCCACAUGCAAAUGCAGAGAUGGAAACCACAUGCGCACAUGCUCAUAAGUGCCACUUUGUGUUCGCUGUACCCAAAGACCAAAGGUCACAAUCAACAUUCAUUGCUGUCGCUGGGUUGGACUCUGUAAGAAAGCUCACUGAACAAUGAGUGCAACUGUGGCCCAGAUCUGCCUGACUCGCGUCUCAGCUAAUCAGACGACCGGAUGUGAAGCACUCUGAUUUCUUUAUUUAUGUACUUCUUGUUUUUCACUUCUAUUUUUUCCCCUCUCUUCCUCCCUCUCCGGUGCCGGGAGUUUUCAGAGGAGGAAGGCAGAGAGAUAGGCGGCACAAAUAGACUUCUGGCUGCCUGCUUGUCCUCAGCCUCCUCUUCUCUCCUCUAAUUGAUGGUUAAGUGUGCAGCAUGGGGGAAGGAAGCCGAGUGAAUGUGUAAUCAUUUGGAGUCUCUUCUCCUUUAGAUGUUUCAUCCCUCUCUUUUUUGUUUGUCUAAUUAUACGCUGAGCUCAGUUAACUGUGUGUCUGCGCUGGCAGGGAAGGCAAAUUUGCGAAAAAGGAGGACAAUUGAGGGGAAAAAGAAGAUUACAGCCUUAGAAACAAAUAGAUCUAGUUUUGAGUUUAUUUUUCAUAAUAAUUCUCCUGGUGCUCAUGCGAAUAUGUUUGAAUAAAAGCAAUUUUGCAAUGUAAGAAGAAGAGUAUUUCCACCUUUUUGAUAAAAGAUGCCUCGUUAUCUGUAUUUAAACGUCUUGGAGUCCUACCUACCAGUCCCUGAGUGCAAGUGUGCUUGUGCUGCUCUCUACGAUAGAGGACGCGUCUGCUCAUCUCAGGGUGUAAUAUGUUAUUUUACUUCAACACUGACGCUAACGCUCUCGUGGGGAAACAUAAAGUCAAUAACCCUGUCUUUCUUCACAGUCUGUGACCCACCUUAUUGCUGCCGUCUGUGAUAUCUCUCACUGUCCUGUUAUACAUGCAAGGUGAAUACACACGCAGCUGAAACCAAAUGUACACACACUCUGUUUGACUGAAAAACAACAACAAAAAGAAUUACAAAAUUUAGUUCUUUUUUUUUAAGUUUGAUGGAUUUCUGGCCCAUUUCUCCUGACAGAACUGGUGUAACUGAGUCAGGUUUAGAGGCUGUCCUGUUCACACACUUUUUCUACUCUGCCCUCAAAAACAUUAUGACUGUGAGGUCAGAGCAUUAUGAUGGCCACAACAAAUUAAACUGCUUUGUAACCAAUUUAGAGGUAUAUUGCCCAUUUUGAAGAUCAAUUUCGGUCCAAAAUAUGCCUGGCUAAUAUAUUUGAGAUGUCUUUUUCAAUAUUUCCACAUGAAGUUGUUGCCUCAUAACACUAUCAAAUUUAGGAAGUGACCAGUUCCUCCUGUAGCAAACUUCCUCCCACAAGCUUUUCCUUUUUUUAUUGAAGUGCAAUUUAGUUUCAUAAGACCACCAGACAUGUCUCCAAAAAAUAGAAGUGUUGGCGUCUGAGUGAUUUUGCAAAUUACAAUCUGGCUUUUUAUGUUGUUCCUGGAAUAAUGGCUUCCUCUCUGAGUGGACUUGUUUUACGUUGGAUGAAGACAACCUCUUACAAGCUUCACCCUGUAUAUUUACAAUGUUUUCUACGUUUGUUUUUGGGGUUCUCGGCUAACUUCCUUUGAUCAUUCCUUGAUGUCAAAAAAGGAAGCAUUAUGCUUGAGGUGUUGCUUUAUAAUACACUCAGGUAUACGUCAGGUAAACUCAAAUUGUUUAAAGUUAUAUUAACUUUAUAAAGUUAUAAUUACUCCUGACAAAAAAAAAAAAAAACUCCUUAAAAAAUUUAAAGUAUUCUGGAAAUGUAUCAAAAGGAAAUCAUUUAGAUAAUUUUAACUGACCAGGAAGAGGUUGUUUUUUUUUCUUCUGAAGACUGCAGGAGAAAAAAAAAAGGCUAAACGUCUGUUUAUUCAGAGUAUGUACAUAUCUGGUUUUCAGCUGCGUUUGUGUCAUUUUAUUCUCUCAACAACGUUUCUUAAGUGAUUUCCUGACUAAGCCAAUAAAGUUCAAUCCAGACCAAUUUA